rnacentral:rRNA from 1 species
UACAGAGGUCCCAAGCGUUGUUCGGAUUCACUGGGCGUAAAGGGUGCGCAGGUGGGUUGGCAAGUUUGAUGUGAAAGCCCCGGGCUUAACCCGGGAAUGGCAUUGAAUACUGCUGAUCUGGAGGAUCGGAGGGGGGACUGGAAUUCUUGGUGUAGCAGUGAAAUGCGUAGAUAUCAAGAGGAACACCUGCGGCGAAGGCGGGUAGCUGGGCCGACACUGACGCUGAGGCGCGAAAGCCAGGGGAGCGAACGGG